GCAUAUGAAGGCAGUCUGGCUGCGACAUCUGCCACCUCAUUGAUCACCAGGGUUCAUAUGGUUUAUCUAACUGACUAGACAGGUGUCUUCUUCCUACACUCACUGUUCUAUGUGCGUCCCUCCCAAAGCUUCACGUUCGGUCGAAGAGGACGACCUUCCCCAAAUAGAGAUGGACUGGUCUUUGGUUAAAGGGAUACAAGUCGCUGUGCUCCCUUGCUCAAACCUUCAGACAAGCUCUAAAAGUCCAUGCUUGUGAUACUAAAUUUGCUCCCCUGAGUCCCCCACCAGACACCAUUU
rnacentral:snRNA from 1 species